rnacentral:rRNA from 1 species
CCUACGGGAGGCAGCAGUGGGGAAUAUUGCACAAUGGGGGAAACCCUGAUGCAGCGACGCCGCGUGAGUGAAGAAGUAAUUCGUUAUGUAAAGCUCUAUCAGCAGGGAAGAAAAUGACGGUACCUGAGUAAGAAGCCCCGGCUAACUACGUGCCAGCAGCCGCGGUAAUACGUAGGGGGCAAGCGUUAUCCGGAUUUACUGGGUGGAAAGGGAGCGUAGACGGCAGUGCAAGUCUGGAGUGAAAGGCGGGGGCUCAACGGGGUGAGGUGCCAGUGAUACUGCCUUGCUGGAAUGCGGAUGCCGUGGGAGGAAUGUGUGGGGUAGCGGUGAAAUGCAUAGAUAUCACACAGAACACCGAUUGCGAAGGCAUCUCACGAAUCCGCGAUUGACGCUGAUGCACGAAAGCGUGGGUAUCAAACAGGAUUAGAUACCCCAGUAGUC